UGGGGCCUGCCUGUGUUUUGUGAGCUCUGU
rnacentral:piRNA from 2 species